AGUGAACGCUGGCGGUGGGCCUAACACAUGCAAGUCGAACGGCAGCACAGUAAGAGUUUGCUUUUACGGGUGGCGAGUGGCGGACGGGUGAGGAAUACAUCGGAAUCUACUUUUUCGUGGGGGAUAACGUAGGGAAACUUAUGCUAAUACCGCAUACGAUCUACGGGUGAAAGCAGGGGAUAUUCGGACCUUGUGCGAUACAAUGAGCUGAUGUCGGAUUAGCUAGUUGGCGGGGUAAAGGCCCACCAAGGCGACGAUCCGUAGCUGGUCUGAGAGGAUGAUCAGCCACACUGGAACUGAGACACGGUCCAGACUCCUACGGGAGGCAGCAGUGGGGAAUAUUGGGCAAUGGGCGCAAGCCUGAUCCAGCCAUACCGCGUGAGUGAAGAAGGCCUUCGGGUUGUAAAGCCCUGUUGUUAGGAAAGAAAAGCAGCAGGUGAAUACCCCGCUGUUCUGACGGUACCCAAAGAAUAAGCACCGGCUAACUUCGUG
rnacentral:rRNA from 1 species